rnacentral:sRNA from 1 species
CUGGGUUAAAGGCUUGAAGGCCCCUGUUAGGAGUCUAGGGGUGAGAUUCUCCUCUCUGAUCCCAGAGGACGUUAACUUCUACUGCAGGAGAGGCAGCUUCCCCCCUUGGGUCCAACAAACCCGCGUGUGACGCUGGCCCCACCAUGGAACGGCCUGGCC